GACGAACGCUGGCGGCGUGCUUAACACAUGCAAGUCGAACGGAAAGGCCCUGCUUGCAGGGUACUCGAGUGGCGAACGGGUGAGUAACACGUGGGUGAUCUGCCCUGCACUUCGGGAUAAGCUUGGGAAACUGGGUCUAAUACCGGAUAGGAACCAUCUUUAGUGUGGUGGUUGGAAAGUUUUUUCGGUGUAGGAUGAGCUCGCGGCCUAUCAGCUUGUUGGUGGGGUAAUGGCCUACCAAGGCGGCGACGGGUAGCCGGCCUGAGAGGGUGUACGGCCACAUUGGGACUGAGAUACGGCCCAGACUCCUACGGGAGGCAGCAGUGGGGAAUAUUGCACAAUGGGCGCAAGCCUGAUGCAGCGACGCCGCGUGGGGGAUGAAGGCCUCCGGGUUGUAAACUCCUUUCGCUAGGGACGAAGCUUUGUUGUGACGGUACCUAGAGAAGAAGCACCGGCUAACUACGUG
rnacentral:rRNA from 1 species